rnacentral:rRNA from 1 species
UACAGAGGUCUCAAGCGUUGUUCGGAUUCAUUGGGCGUAAAGGGUGCGUAGGCGGCGCGGUAAGUCCGCUGUGAAAACUCGAGGCUCAACUUCGAGCUGUCGGUGGAAACUUUCUGGCUAGAGUCCGGAAGAGGAGAAUGGAAUUCCUGGUGUAGCGGUGAAAUGCGCAGAUAUCAGGAAGAACACCCGUGGCGAAGGCGGUUCUCUGGGACGGUACUGACGCUGAGACGCGAAAGCGUGGGGAGCGAACAGG